ensembl:lncRNA
ACAGUAGGAUAUAGGACAGAUGCUGGCUGAACAGUAGGAUAUAGGACAGAUAUAGCCUCUGAACAGUAGGAUAUAGGACAGAUAUAGCCUCUGAACAGUAGGAUAUAGGACAGAUGCUGGCUGAACAGUAGAAUAUAGGACAGAUAUAGCCUCUGAACAGUAGGAUAUAGGACAGAUAUAGGCUCUGAACAGUAGGAUAUAGGACAGAUAUAGCCUCUGAACAGUGUAUGUUCCAUACUGCAUGUAUUAUAGUGGAUUUGUUUGCUGACUUCACAAAAUAAAUGUCCAUGUAAAUGGGCUAGGUCUAAAUGUCAAUGUAAAUGGGCUAGGUCUAAAUGGGCUAGGUCUAAAUGGGCUAGGUCUAAAUGUCGGUGUAAAUGGGCUAGGUCUAAAUGGGCUAGGUCUAAAUGUCCAUGUAAAUGGGCUAAGUCUAAAUGGGCUAGGUCUAAAUGUAGGUCUAAAUGGGCUAGGUCUAAAUGUCCAUGUAAAUGGGCUAGGUCUAAAUGUCGGUGUAAAUGGGCUAAGUCUUAAUGUCGGUGUAAAUGGGCUAAGUCUACUGUAUUUUGUAUAUCGUACUUUGCUCUCAUUUUGAGAGAAAUAAAAUCCAGUUCGAUUCCCAACUCAGUAACUCAGAUCAGCUUUAAUAUUGAACAUAGAUUGUAACUCAGACCUUGGGGGAAGAUCAGCUUUAAUAUUGAACAUAGAUUGUAACUCAGGCCUUGGGGAAGUUCUGCUUUAAUAUUGAACAUAGAUUGUUGAUUCCAUCAAUGUAAUUGUCUGC